UACGAAGGGGGCUAGCGUUGUUCGGAAUUACUGGGCGUAAAGGGCGCGUAGGCGGUGUGUCAAGUCAGGCGUGAAAGCCCCGGGCUCAACCUGGGAGCCGCGCUUGAGACUGGCACGCUCGAGUUCGGGAGAGGAUGGUGGAAUUCCCAGUGUAGAGGUGAAAUUCGUAGAUAUUGGGAAGAACACCGAUGGCGAAGGCAGCCAUCUGGACCGACACUGACGCUGAGGCGCGAAAGCGUGGGGAGCAAACAGG
rnacentral:rRNA from 1 species